UGAAAAUAAUACAAACAAAAUAACAGGGAUAAUUUUGUCAUAAAAAAAUAAAUUAACAAAAUAGUAGAAGCAGUUUCUUCCCACUACCUUGCGAGAAGAACACGCGUAAUGGAAGGAAACUGCAGUUUUCUUCCAACCGUACCAGCAACCGCACUAGCAGAAAUACAAAGGAGUUUUCUUCCCACUAAUUCACUCAGAACCAGCCGCACCAGCAACUUUCAUGUAAGCUUCGAUCUUCCUCUCACUCUGUCUCAGUUACCCAUUUGUUGUUCAUCUGGAUCCUGCUUUGAUUAAGCUAUUUGUGACUGAAACUGUCGCCUUCAUUGCCAUCUUCUCCAGGUACCCAACUUCCUAGGGUUCAUUUAUGGGUUUUUUUUUUUCUGUCAUUAAUUUGGAAUGGUGACUAUCUUACGCAAUGGGUGAGAUUGGGCAUCUACAGAGCCACGUAAAAUCCCCAAGUCCAGUUCUGAUUUUUCACUCUUUUCAUUUUCUUUGUUCCUUGCAGAUUCGUGAAAAUGAUUGGGACUACAGUGUCGAAGCUUUGAAAAUUUCCUCAUUAGUUGCUUGGACUUUUGAUUAGCAUAUAUUUCGAUUCUCACUUUUCUCGGAGAUUACAUCUACUUCAAGUCCCAUGUCCCUCUUCAUAAGAUCCCAUGUUUGUUGGGGAUGAGAGUGGAAUCAUAAACCGAAUAGCAGGAGUUUUCGCCACGAGAGGUUACAAUAUCGAGUCUCUUGCUGUUGGUUUGAACAAGGACAAGGCUCUCUUUACCAUAGUUGUGUCUGGGACUGAAAAGGUGUUGAGGCAGGUUGUUGAAUAGCUCAACAAGUUGGUGAAUGUGAUAAAGGUCGAAGACAUCUCAAGGGAGCCACAAGUAGAACGUGAACUGAUGCUUAUCAAACUUAAUGCAUAUCCAAGUAUCUGUGCAGAGGUAAAAUUUUCGAUCAUCCAACCAAUAUUUGGAUAAUCGUUCUAAUAUGUUUAAAUGAUC